rnacentral:rRNA from 1 species
CCUACGGGAGGCAGCAGUAGGGAAUCUUCCGCAAUGGACGAAAGUCUGACGGAGCAACGCCGCGUGAGUGAUGAAGGUUUUCGGAUCGUAAAGCUCUGUUGCCAGGGAAGAACGCCUAAGAGAGUAACUGCUCUUAGGGUGACGGUACCUGAGAAGAAAGCCCCGGCUAACUACGUGCCAGCAGCCGCGGUAAUACGUAGGGGGCGAGCGUUGUCCGGAAUUAUUGGGCGUAAAGCGCGCGCAGGCGGCAAUGUAAGUUGGGUGUUUAAACCUAGGGCUCAACCUUGGGUCGCAUCCAAAACUGCAUAGCUUGAGUACAGAAGAGAAAGUGGAAUUCCACGUGUAGCGGUGAAAUGCGUAGAGAUGUGGAGAACACCGUGGCGAGGCGACUUUCUGGGCUGUAACUGACGCUGAGCGCGAAAGCGUGGGAGCAAACAGGAUUAGAUACCUGGUAGUCCACGCGGUAAACGAUGAAUGCUAGGUGUUAGGGUUUCGAUACCUUGGUGCCGAAGUUAACACAUUAAGCAUUCCGCCUGGGGAGUACGGUCGCAAGACUGAAACUCAAAGGAAUUGACGGGGACCCGCACAAGCAGUGGAGUAUGUGGUUUAAUUCGAAGCAACGCGAAGAACCUUAC